ensembl:snRNA U6 U6 spliceosomal RNA
AUGCUUACUUUAGCAGCAUGUAUGCUUAAACUGGAAUGACACAGUGAAGAUGAGAAUGGCCCCAAUGAAAGGAUUACAUGCACAUCUGUUUAACACUCAUAUUUUUG